rnacentral:lncRNA from 1 species
CUAAUUAUAAAUGACAGUAUUUUAAUUUCAUUCCACUGCCUCUUUUGUACCCUCAACCCCAGCACAAAUGAGUCCAUCACUACAAGCCACAUAAUUGAAUUAAAGCAUACAUCAUCUCAGCCUAUUCUGGGGGGAAACCACGGCUGCUCUUCCUCCAGAUAACUAGUUUUGCAAAGCCCAGGCAGGCUGCUUCUUCCUUCAUUCUGUGCCUCACCAAAAGACUUAAGUCACCUGUCAAGAGCUAGCCUAAAAGAAAUGGAAGUUACUUUUCUCAAAUGGGGCAUAAAGUUUGUUCCUUUAAGCCAGUUCAGAGAAAGCUUUCAGUAGAAGCAAUAAGGAAUUUGGGAUU